rnacentral:rRNA from 1 species
AUACGGAGGGUCCAAGCGUUAUCCGGAUUCAUUGGGUUUAAAGGGUCCGCAGGCGGGAAAAUAAGUCAGUGGUGAAAGCCUACAGCUCAACUGUAGAACUGCCAUUGAUACUGUUUUUCUUGAGUAUCGAUGAAGUGGGCGGAAUAUAUCAUGUAGCGGCGAAAUGCAUAGAUAUGAUAUAGAACACCGAUUGCGAAGGCAGCUCACUAAACUAUUACUGACGCUCAGGGACGAAAGCGUGGGGAGCGAACAGGAUUAGAAACCCCAGUAGUCC